rnacentral:lncRNA from 1 species
CCCUCAGAAUUUCCCAAUGCACUUCCAUGUGGAUAGUUAGAAUCUGUAUGAAGAAACCCAUUCAUAUAUUUACAAUCAUAUUUGCUUUGACACUUACAAAUUUAAAAGAAAAAUGUUGAUAUUCACGUACAUGAAUAUAUAUGAGUAUUAAAAAAACCACAAGAAUCGUUUUAUCAUUUUAAUCAACAUAUAAUAAUAUAUAAACUAGCGCAUUUAAUUUAAAUAACAAUUAUUUUAAUAUAAAAAUAUUUAUGUAAUUUGUGUAAAUAACAUAUACAUGCGCCGCGUACCUGUACAAUGCGAAUAAUGAAAACUGACAAUAAUAAUAAAAGAAAAUGGUUCAAUGAUAUUCGUUCACAGUGAAGUUUUGAAGAUUAGCAAGGAAAAGAUGUUACUGAGAAAGAUAACAGAAAUAGAGGAAGAAAGAAGAAAAGAGAAAAAAGAGUAAAGAUUGCCAAAGGAUGGUUGGUUGCCCUUAAAAUAAAGGUUAAGGCAUUGAAGUAUUAGAAGAAACGAAGAGCAUAAUCCUUUUUCCUUUUCUUCCCUUGAUGCCAUGGAAGGUGAUGAUGAGAGCUGAAAUUCAUGUUGAAGAAGAGCAAAAAGCUGAGAAUAAUGUUGGUGAAGUGAGGUAAAGAUGUUAGUGGGUUUUGUAGGUCACAAGGGAAAGUGGAGGAAAGGAUCUUCCUCGCAUAUGCCUUCUUUCUCUUUGCUUUUCUCUUAUUUAUCUUUUUAUAACCAAAGCCCACUACAAUAAUUCCUCACAAUACUCUUUCUUCCUGCA